CACGUAGGGCGCAAGCGUUGUCCGGAAUUAUUGGGCGUAAAGAGCUCGUAGGCGGUCUGUUGCGUCCGCUGUGAAAACUCGGGGCGUUAACCCCGAGCCUGCAGUGGAUACGGCAGACUAGAGGUAGGUAGGGGAGAAUGGAAUUCCGGUCGUGAGCGGUGAAAUGCGCAGAUAUCAGGAAGAACACCCGUGGCGAAGGCGGCUCUCUGGGACGGUACUGACGCUGAGACGCGAAAGCGUGGGGAGCGAACAGG
rnacentral:rRNA from 1 species